AUGGUAAUAUACCCAUAAUCAAAAUUAAUAAUCCCUAGCUUGCAUGCAGUUAGAUUCCUAAUGCGACAGGGUUCGCAUUAAGAUCAUUGGACUGAUCCCGCAUGCUUAUUAAUAUUUUCCAUAUCAUGACUUCUCUUCUAUGCAUCUUUCUUUUAAAAAAUAAGAGCCCAUAGGAUGAUCUCAUAAAAGAUAUUGUUUGCUAAUAAUUAAUAUAUAUUUUUUUUUUAUCUUCGCGAGAAUAAAUUAUAACAGGUGUCUUCUACAAGGGAUGAAAAUCGGAAACUAAUAGCAAUGUGCUACCCAAGGCGUUGAUGAAGAAGUUACCUCUUUGCACUACAGGGCAUCUAUUCCCCCCCCCCCCCCCCCCCCCCCCCCUCCUCUCUCUCUCUCUGAGUCUGGACUCUGGUAUGCAGAAAUCACUCUCUCUCCUUCCAUAUCUCUCCUUCCUCCUUCACAAAAACCUUAACCCGAACCUGAAUUCAUCCCUCUCACCAUUCGAUCUCUCUCCUUCCCCAUCAUGAAAACGAACCCAAAAUCAUACCUAUUUAAUUUCACGAAAACGAGUCAUCGAGAACGAGAGCUUGUACUUGGAUAGUUCACUUCAUAUUUGAGAAGAUUUCCUAAUCCCUAAUUUUUCAUGAUCCCAAAUUUUUUGUAAUCCCAAAUUUUUCUAAUCCCUAAUUUGUAAUGGUCUGUGUUUUUGUUGUAGGAUUUUUGGCCUCGAUUCCCCACUAUAAAAUUUCCUCUCUCUGCGAAAAAUACGGGCAUCUAUUUAAUUUCGUAUGGAUGAAGUUGUUGCAAAAUGAUAUUAGAGUUAGCUCAAAGGAGGAAUGACAGGAUCAAUCAAGAACGUGUAACGGCUGAAGCAGUAAAAUUUAAAUUUAUGGAAAAUAAGUACAAUGAAACAUUAAAAGUUCUAUUCUUUUCAUGAUUUUGUAUUGUUGUGCUUUGUGCUGUAAUUGUUUUCUAUUUGAACAUAAUCAUGUAUCUCGACCAAUGCUAGGAUCAUAUGGUUGGUAGGCCAAUGCUAAGAUCCUUUGUAGUGUAAUUGUUUUUUAUUUGAAUGAGCACGCCUAUUCUGGAACCAAUUAUAGACAUUUAUUUAUGAAAUUUGGCCAUAUUGACCAAGUUCAGAGGUUAUCUCUUUCA